rnacentral:misc_RNA from 1 species
GAUGAAGAACGUAGUGAAAUGCGAUAAGUAAUGUGAAUUGCAGAAUUCAGUGAAUCAUCGAAUCUUUGAACGCACCUUGCGCCCUUUGGCUAUUCCAGAGGGCAUGCCUGUUUGAGUAUCAUGAACACCUCAACUCUCAUGGUUCUGCCAUGAUGAGCUUGGACUUUGGAGGUCUUGCUGGCCCCUGUGGUCAGCUCCUCUCAAAUGGAUCAGCUUGCCAGUGUUUGGUGGCAUCACAGGUGUGAUAACUAUCUACGCUUGUGGUUUUCCACCAGGUAACCUUCAGUGAUGGAGGUUCGCUGGAGCUCAUAAACGUCUCUCCUCAGCGAGGACAGCUUCUUGAACGUUUGAUCUCAAAUCAGGUAGGGCUACCCGCUGAACUUAAGCAUAUCAAUAAGCGGAGGA